UGAGGAAUAUUGGACAAUGGGGGAAACCCUGAUCCAGCAAUGCCGCGUGAGUGGAGAAGGCCUUAGGGUUGUAAAGCUCUUUCGCCCGCGAAGAUAAUGCCGGUACCAUUUAUAAGCUCCGGCUAACUACGUGCCAGCAGCCGCGGUAAUACGUAGGGGGCAAGCGUUGCUCGGAUUUACUGGGCGUAACGGGCGCGUAGGCGGCGCGGUAAGUCACUUGUGAAAUCUCUGAGCUUAACUCAGAACGGCCAAGUGAUACUGCUGUGCUAGAGUGCGGAAGAGGCAACCGGAAUUCUUGGUGUAGCGGUGAAAUGCGUAGAUAUCAGGAGGAACACCGGCGGUGUAG
rnacentral:rRNA from 1 species